rnacentral:rRNA from 1 species
GUCAAGUUAUUAAGGGCUUGUGGUGGAUACCUAGGCACACAGAG